GAUGAACGCUGGCGGCGUGCCUAAUACAUGCCAGUCGAACGCUUCACUUCGGUGAAGAGUGGCGAACGGGUGAGUAAUACAUAAGUAACCUGGCAUCUACAGGGGGAUAACUGAUGGAAACGUCAGCUAAGACCGCAUAGGUGUAGAGAUCGCAUGAACUCUAUAUGAAAAGUGCUACGUGACUGGUAGAUGAUGGACUUAUGGCGCAUUAGCUUGUUGGUAGGGUAACGGCCUACCAAGGCGACGAUGCGUAGCCGACCUGAGAGGGUGACCGGCCACACUGGGACUGAGACACGGCCCAGACUCCUACGGGAGGCAGCAGUAGGGAAUUUUCGGCAAUGGGGGAAACCCUGACCGAGCAACGCCGCGUGAAGGAAGAAGUAAUUCGGUAUGUAAACUUCUGUCAUAGAGGAAGAACGGUGGAUAUAGGGAAUGAUAUCCAAGUGACGGUACUCUAUAAGAAAGCCACGGCUAACUACGUG
rnacentral:rRNA from 1 species